UGACCGUCUGUUUCCGUGUUUUCACUGCAAGCGAAAAAACAAAAAUGUUCAGGAGUUUUUAGAUAUUUCCCAAGAUGUGAGGCAUAUAUCACUGGAACAGAGACGAUUCCAAACUUAGAAAAAAAUCCGUGUCCAGUCAAUGUGAUCCUUGUCCAGUCAAGUUACUAUUAUAGUCAAUGUGAUCCAUGUCCAGCCAAGUUGUUAUUAUAGAUCUGGGAAAGUGCAAUAGAUGUUCUGGUGUUCGAUGGAAAGAGUCACACCCUGCUUGUAGAAUACAUUUGUACAUCAUUUAGGAUAUAAUGGAGGAUUGGAAUGAGAAACUUGUUACAGCUGCUAGGGAGGGAGAUAAAGAAGCCUUAAAAUUGUGCUUACAGAAUGAUGUAGAAAUUGAUUAUCAAGGAGU